GCUCCUCCUUCAGCCCAUGCCUUGCCCGCCAUUUGGAGGUAAUUAAGGGGCUAAGAUCAAGCGUAGUAUCUGUUCUUAUCAGUUUAAUAUCUGAUAUGUUCUCUAUCUGAGAGCUUUAUAUUAUUAAAUAAUUACAAUGUUCAUUCAGAAAUCAAGAUGUGGGCAUAGUUUC
rnacentral:snRNA from 1 species